AAAUGCAAACUAUGCUUAAAUUAAGCAAUAAAACACUGCAAGUUGCAAGUUGUAACAUAUUAGCAUACACCACACUGCAAGGAAGAACUCCACAACAGGAAACAGGUUCAAAGUAUAUUUGUACCCAGUACUGCUGAGAGUAUCUUCACAACUGUGACUUUACACAACUUGAGUCACACAACCAACUAUUCCACACUGAAUAUUACAGAACAGGACUAAACAUCAAAUGAGGGAGGAAGAUUCUGCUUGCAAAGGUUGCAGAUUAAUUUGAAACUCCAAUACUAACCUACUAUCCACCUUCCUUAACACAAUUCCUAAUCUCAUUUAAGAAAUAAACCUUAUGACAAAUAGGAGAAAGUCCACAUGCAUGAACUUUCCCUGAUCUAGUUCUUGGUGACUUUUUCUCAAAGCAAGCCUUUUGCAGUCUUCUUUGUAGAAAGCUGUGGAUCUAUUUUGAUUUUUAUAGAAAAUUAGUUGCCUCCCCUGGAUCACCAUUCUUGAGUCAGAAACAAAUAGGAAAAUUUAAUAGAUCAAGCCUCAAAAAAUAAAUGUGAAACAGGAUUUUAUUAAGGUAAGCAUAAACAUUCCUGAUACUUAUCUACUGAAAAUCCUGAGGUGGAAAAUAACUCUCCAACAACAACAACAAAAGAUCAACAACAAAAAAAUCCCCACAACAAGAAGAAAAAAAUAAACAACCCACUCCCCUCCCCCCCCAAAAAAAGAACAACAACAACAAAUAACCAACAAAAAACAAGCAAAAAUAGAAGCUAGAUGUUAUUCAGUGCCUGUGACACGGUUCCAGGAGAGGUCUGCUGUCCAUGAACAGCACCAGGAAAGAGGAGAAAUGAAGCACGGCUGAGCAUUUAAUCUUCUCUACCAAUCACAAAGAAGAGGACAAAGGUUUUAAAGAUUGUGCCAUCUCCACUGCUCUGGUCAGUACACAACGACUGAGAUAGAACAAGGAAAUACCAGAUGCCACCAUAAACAUCCAUGAGCACAGCUAAGGGAAAAGCAGAUAUCUGCACAUGGUGCAGAACGAUCCCAGGUAUCCAUUCAGGCUAGGAGCCCACUGUUUGGGUGGCAGGCCCAGCAAAAAGGGCAUUCCUGUGGACACAGCAGGCUGAGCAAGGCAAUAGCAUGCUUUUAUCAGAAAUAAGGCAAGCAGCAAGAAACUACAUUGGAAGACUGGGACUGGCAGGCUGAGAAAGUUUUCUUCUCUACUCAGCAUGGCUUCACACGCUAGGGCAGUCAGUUGUGAUCCUUCCCAGCUGAACCAGGAUGUGAAGAAGACAGGGGAGAUGCUGGAGAGCAGCCAUGAUACUCAGGAGCCUUGAGCUUUGUCUUGGAGCAGUUGAUGGAGCUGAGCACGUUUGGUCUGACAGAAGAGGGAUCUAACAGGUGACCCAGUAGCAGCCUACAUCUGCUUGAAGGUAAAUCAAAAUGAUUAAGAAGCCAAAUCCUCUCAGCAGUGAUAGAACAUAUAUAAAGGGACAAUGACCAUAAAUUGCCACUUGGGAGGUUCAGGGUGGCUCUUCCAUUCUUCCCUCCCCAUGUCAAACCCCCUCUUUUUUCAACAGGCAGGUGUUGCAGAUCUGCAGAUUAUUCAGCAAGGUGGUGGGAUUUUCAUCCAGGGAAGUUUAGGACCUGUCUAGGCAAAGCCAGCCCACAUGACUGGGAAGAGUGUAUCUCCCAGUUGGACUGGGUAACUUCCUAAAGUUACUUCAAAACAAUGUGUAGGUGAGAAAUAUGCACAUGGAUAGAAUCACAGACAGCUUCAAAUGCAGCAAAUCACUGCAGAUUUAUACGGAAGGGCAUCUAAAUAUCCACUUUAAUUCAUUGUACCUGAAAGAAAGUGCCUACUAAGGUUUGUGUGCUACAGUUAAAGAGUUUUAAAUUUGUAUCUCCUCAGUAUCUAAUAAGACUUGAUUUGCUACAUAUUUAUGUUGUCAACACUAUUAUUUGUUAAUUGUGAAUAUCAUGGUGUUAUUUGUUUUUACAAAUAUAUAGAAAAAUAUUGUUACCCUAACAGCAGCAGAUCCUGAUUCUGAAAUGGUCUCUGAAAAGAUGAAAGCUGUAGAGCUACCCAUAAAGCACCUGGAACUAGUUCAUUAGUUGCCAGAAGAUGGAAAAAAAGAAAGAGAUAAAAUCAUUUCUCCAACUUCCAAUAGCAUGAGAACAAGCAAGUCCUUUGGGUGUUGCACAUGACUGGUUUUCUAAUCAAAAUAUGGAGCCUCCAUUAUUACACCAAGGAUAUGGUGUGAUGCAGCUCUGUUAGCAAAGACCUGCUGGUCAAUAGCCAUCCUGAUCAUUACUGAGCUAUAUCCUUCCUCUGGAAGGCUAAAAUAGCUAGUUAAAUCUUUGAUGACAUAAUUACAUCUUUUCCAGAAAUAAUUUUUCAGUCUUUUUUCCAUCAAUAACGCAAAAGACAAGAAUGAAGACAAGAAUAAUACCAUACAGGUUCUUGCAAUUCACCUAACGCUGCAUCUUUUCUUCUGCAGUGGCCAGUGGGGGAUGUCCAUGAAAACCUAUCAAUACAGGCCAUGCAACCUGCCACCAUCCUUGUGCACACAUCCAGAUGUGUAAUUUGGAAUUCAGAAGCUUCCAGAGCAAAAGUUGGUAGCUUUGUAAAGAGAACAUCCCCACAACAAAUGUCAAAGACUUCUGUAUGGAAUACAUUACAAAGAAGUCAGUAAGAAACAAAAACUUUAUUACUCCUGAAAUAAAUCCAACAUGUUAAAUUAGGAAAAUUAUGCAACUAAUUAUAUCCUACCAGUAUAAAAAGUAUCAAAGAGCAGUAUUUUUUUCUGAACAUCUCAUGCCAUCUCAUUUUCAGAAUGUCAAUUAAGAACAAAAAUAAUACAAAGCCCUUGUGAUAACUGAAGAUGAAACUCAAGAGUUAAAUUUGCAACAAAUCUGGAAUUCCCCUUUGAUCACUCUAAGGCAAUGGCUGUACAUUUUUAUCACACCAAACAAGCCAUAAUAAACUGCAACAGCAAUAACAGAAAGAAAUCCAGUGACAUUCCAAGACAAUGCUUAUGAAAAGUUGCAGUAUCACAGCCUUUUAAUGUAAGUAUACGUUAAAUAUGCACAUGGCUCCAUGUGUAGGUGAUGUGGUGCGGCAUAAAGUGGUAUCUGAAAAGAAGGUUUUCAAAAAUUUGCAGGAAAGAUCUUAAAUUUUAAUAGGAGUUUCAAUGUAAAAAACUACUGAGGUGCACAAAAAAGGAUUCAAGAAACAUGUCAUUUAUGGCUCUGCUCCCCGGCACGACUUUACUGAAAUCAAAGGCCUUUGCUCAAGAGUAACUUCUUCCCCUAGCUGCAGAAGUUUGAAAAAUAGCUGUCUUUUCUAGAAUCUGGCAGGUUUGUAUUUACAAAUAAACUAACCAAUUGACUUCUGAAUGUAGGUCACAACACUCAUUCCUUAGGUGGCUGGCCUAUUUUUAUCUUAUUUGAAAGGGCAAGAACAAAAAAGAAGAGCUAACUGGACAUACUUCUCCGAUCUGAACUGUUUCUCCCUACAGGAGUGAUACAUUAAAAUAUCACCAAUAUCACCGCAGGAAUGAUUUCUGAUUUGUAACAAAUCUUCAAUUCCCCUGCUCUUAUUUAAAAAACAAACACGCAAAUCUAAACUGAUAGAUCAAAGCCUUUAGAACCAAAACUCUGUAACAACCUUUGCAUUACUUCAACCCGAAUAUCAGAGUGAGGUUUCAGGAGACCAAUGAUCUACUGAAAAGGUCUCACCCCAGAUAGCCCAUUCCUGUAACAGAAAUAGUACAGAGCUAUAACAGGCUCCACUGCAGUCAAGAAUAGCUUAGCAGUGGUAGAAGCAGACAUCUCCUCCACGUACUUUGUAAUGUCUUUGCAACUCUAAGCUACUCGUCUCAAGACUUCUUUUUCCAAAUAGGUGUGGCUUUUUUGUUAUAUUUUGGUUUUUAAUUCUGUAAGAAAGUCUGUUUUCAAAGAUGCAACUAUAUUCGAUCAAGUGGCUGGAAAAAAAUGAGCCUGGAACACCAUAAAUAUUAUCCUAUUAUCUGACUGUGAUUAAAUCAGAAUUAUACAAACACAUUUAAAUAAUUUGUAGACUGUGGCAUCACUGGCAUCACUGGCAAUAAGGAUUGCUGUCAAACUGAAACCCAAUGGAACUUCAAAUGCACCUUAAACACUGUAUCAGUGACAGAUACUUUAAGGCAAUAAUAUUUCUAGGUGUCUUAUACUACAGUAAUGUUUCUUUCACACAGAUCUGUUCAGAUAAAAGAUGUAAUGCUGGCAUUACAUUUGCCAAAAUUGCCAUUUGCAAUUAAAAAUUAAAACUGGCACUCUUUCUAUGCAGGCAAUUAUCUAAACGCAGCUGGCAAUCUUCCUUGUUUACAGCGCUGCUGUGUCAUGACUACACUCCGUUUGGAAAUUUACCACCUUUUUUUUUUUUUUUCCCAAGGUUUAAACUUCUCAGCUUUAUUUCCAACUAGAACUUUUCUCGUUUUAAAGAUUUCUAUCACGACUCAAACAAAAAGGUCCAAAACUCUAAUUUGCAUAUUUUGUAUGGCAACUUCAGGCACUGACAUAAAAUGAUUCCUAGUACAUAUUUUGGUGGUUGUUGCUACACUAAUUAACAUCCAUCUAGGCCACAGGAAAACACCUGUAAGGAUCCAGACAGCAAAAUGUACCAAAUAAAUGCCCUCCAAGAAGAAAAUUUUGGGUCUAAGAGCUGAUUUUCAGAGAAAAACAGAAAUAAUGGGAAGAUCCUCUAGUGGACAAAAAUCCUUUUACUGAGUAAUAUAUAACAUUAAGCAUAUUUCUACUACUUGCUGUCUAUAGUAAUUGUCAUCUACAAAAUGAAUCUAUCCACAAAGUAUCUUAUUAAUCAGACUGCCAUGUUUUUGGCACCUUUUAACUUACAACAGCUGCUAUUAAAGUAAGAUUUGAGGGUUCCCCUACUGCUGGGAAAGGAGCACUAUUUAUGCUGUCAAACAGCUUUUAGGGAACAGUUGCUUUUUUAGCCAAGAUGCUGCAGCCGCUAGCUUGAUUUCCAUGACUAUCAUGGAACAAAUACAGUUACUUACAGCAUAUCAGUUAAAUAUUCUGAACACAUCUGUUUAUGGUGUGUUUCCAAUAGUCAGACAUAACAAUAAAUUGUAUUAUAACCCCAAUACAGUAAUGCUUAACUUCCUUCCUCUGUAACUGAUCACUUUUCACCCAUAAAUAUGAUCCACUGUCACGACUCCUUGACAGA